UACGUAGGGGGGCAAGCGUUGUCCGGAAUCAUUGGGCGUAAAGAGCGCGUAGGCGGCCCUGUAAGUCCGCUGUGAAAGUCAAGGGCUCAACCCUUGGAUGCCGGUGGAUACUGCAGGGCUAGAGUCCGGAAGAGGCGAGUGGAAUUCCUGGUGUAGCGGUGAAAUGCGCAGAUAUCAGGAGGAACACCCGAUGGCGAAGGCAGCUCGCUGGGACGGUACUGACGCUGAGGCGCGAAAGCGUGGGGAGCAAACAGG
rnacentral:rRNA from 1 species